rnacentral:lncRNA from 10 species
AAUUCCGGAGCGCCCCAGCUCAGGCUUCCCGGAUCCGGGAACUCCCUCGCCGCACCCCACCCCCAGCAGCCGGGCCCUGACGCGGAGUGGGAGACCGAAGCCCCCAGUAUUGCUGGGCAUCUUCGCCCUCACCUGUUGGCUCUUUUGGACAGAAGAGUACGGAGUCUACCUCUUGUUACCUAGACUGGAGUGCAGUGGCACGAUCUCGGCUCACUGCAACCUCUGCCUCCCGGGUUCAAGCGAUUCUCCUGCCUCAGCCUCCUGAGUAGCUGGGAUUACAGGUGCCUGCCACCAAGCCCAGCUAAUUUUUGUAUUUUUAGUAGAGACGGGGUUUCAUUGUGUUGGCCAGGCUGGUCUCGAACUCCUGACCUCGUGAUCCGCCCGCCUUGGCCUCCCAAAGUGCUAGGAUUACAAGUGUGAGCCACCGCGUCCGGCCUUUCAAAUGGUAUUUUUGAUUUUCCUCUUCCAGUCCUUAAAGCAGCUGAUUUAGAAGAAUACAAAUCAUGGCUGAAAAUAGUGUAUUAACAUCCACUACUGGGAGGACUAGCUUGGCAGACU